rnacentral:lncRNA from 1 species
AGAGUGGAUUCAAUUGCAUAUAAAAAGAACUUAAUAUUGAAAUCGUAUCAGAGUGCAAAUAUCUUUGAGCUGCUUCAUUAUCACCAGUGUGACUCGCGAUCAUCACAAAAGCUGAGCACCUGAAAUGUCUGCUAAACCUGCAAAUUCAGCACGUCCACGCGAGGUUUGCCGUCUUCCUUACAGAAAAGCCUGUUGGUCUCCAGAGAUGUCUUUGAAAACAGUGGCAUCCUUGUUACAGAUGUAAAUGACUUUAUGGAAAAUAUACAGAAAGUAGCAGCUCCAUUCAGGAGUAGCUACUGGUAAGAACACUUGUGACUCUCUCCCAUGUGAGCUGGAUGACAGCAGAUGCUGACAUCUGUGUCUGCAGGAAACCAGUUGCUCAAAAACUUUUGUACCUUAUACGUCAUGCUGUAAAUUUAAAGUUUUGUUUAUUUAGGGAUGCUGCUAGUUUGGCAUAAAUGGGACUUUCUCAAGUAUCACUAAUGAAAUAAUUAACCUCCAUUCUAUGAGUGUUUUCACCUGCAGUCCAUCUGCUGCCAGGACGGAAGACAAUGUAGCCUACAUGCAUAGACAUUUUCCCCAGUAGGUAGCAUCCUAUUUAUGGAAUAGUUCUUGGUUAUUUUAUUUUAAAGACGGAAUUAUCAAUUUUGUAUUUGUCCAGGUGAUUUAACUACAGCUUACCUAUACAUCGGUGAUGCCAACAAACAAAUGAGUAUUUUCCCUUUUCUUUGAAAACCUUUGAUUUAUAUGAGAAGACUGUUCUGUGUAUCUCAGUGUUCUACAACUUGGGGGAUCAUUUUUCUUCGUGUUUUACACAUUGCCAAAUGUCUGACUUUGUUGUCUGGCUUUGUUCACAACAGCACUGUAGUUUUCCAUUAGUUUUGGGUUACAGUGUUCGAUAUUAUUGUUUUAAAUUAUUCUCAUUUUAAGCAGAAUAGCUUCAAGCUAUUCAUUGAAAUUAAUGAUAAAAAUAAGAAUUUUACAAGUGUACUCAAUUGUAGCAAAAAUAAGUAUUUUAACCAGUAGCUUUGUUUUUGCACGUUAAGGUCAGAAAUGCACAUGUAAUGCAUGUUGUAGUCUGUUUUAAAGGUUUGUACCACCUGUGUAAAAACUAACAUCUUCAGUGGUUUUUUUAUCUGCUGUUUUUCAUGCUACACUACAUAAACAUUUUUUCCUAAAUGGUACAAAUUUAUAAACUGUCAUUUUCACUUACUCAGUUUUUGUAAACAGCGUACUAUAAAAAUCAACCCUCUGAGGAAGAAAUAAUCAUUAUUUGUAUUAGAAAUAAUUUCUACACCAAUCUUUAAAACUCAAAACCAAGCAAAAAACAUUGGUAAGAUACAUAGUAUCUAUUUGGAACAAAGGUUUUUGUACCUAAUUUGUUUCAUUUUAAUAAAGACAACU